GACGAACGCUGGCGGCGUGCUUAACACAUGCAAGUCGAACGCUGAAGCUCAGCUUGCUGGGUGGAUGAGUGGCGAACGGGUGAGUAACACGUGAGUAACCUGCCCUCUUCUUUGGGAUAACGCCCGGAAACGGGUGCUAAUACUGGAUAUUCACUGAUUCUCGCAUGGGGGUUGGUGGAAAGGUUUUUUCUGGUGGGGGAUGGGCUCGCGGCCUAUCAGCUUGUUGGUGGGGUGAUGGCCUACCAAGGCUUUGACGGGUAGCCGGCCUGAGAGGGUGACCGGUCACAUUGGGACUGAGAUACGGCCCAGACUCCUACGCGAGGCAGCAGUGGGGCAUAUUGCACAAUGGGCGAAAGCCUGAUGCAGCGACGCCGCGUGAGGGAUGGAGGCCUUCGGGUUGUAAACCUCUUUCGCUCAUGGUCAAGCCGCAGCUUUGGGUUGUGGUGAGGGUAGUGGGUAAAGAAGCGCCGGCUAACUACGUG
rnacentral:rRNA from 1 species